UACGGAGGAUCCAAGCGUUAUCCGGAUUUAUUGGGUUUAAAGGGUGCGUAGGCGGAUUAGUAAGUCAGUGGUGAAAGCCUGCAGCUCAACUGUAGAACUGCCAUUGAUACUGCUAGUCUUGAGUAUAGUUGAGGAGGGCGGAAUAUGACAUGUAGCGGUGAAAUGCUUAGAUAUGUCAUAGAACACCGAUUGCGAAGGCAGCUCUCUAAGCUAUUACUGACGCUGAGGCACGAAAGCGUGGGUAGCAAACAGG
rnacentral:rRNA from 1 species